CUACGGGCGGCACCAGUGAGGAAUAUUGCACAAUGGGGGGAACCCUGAUGCAGCAACGCCGCGUGGAGGAUGACGCAUUUCGGUGUGUAAACUCCUUUUAUAUGUCAAGAAAAUGACGGUAGCAUAUGAAUAAGCACCGGCUAACUCCGUGCCAGCAGCCGCGGUAAUACGGAGGGUGCAAGCGUUACUCGGAAUCACCGGGCGUAAAGGACGCGUAGGCGGGUUGGAAAGUCAGGUGUGAAAUCCUACAGCUUAACUGUAGAACUGCACUUGAAACUUCUAAUCUAGAGUAUGGGAGGGGGAGAUGGAAUUAGUGGUGUAGGGGUAAAAUCCGUAGAUAUCACUAGGAAUACCGAAAGCGAACGCGAUCUCCUGGAACAUUACUGACGCUAAGGCGUGAAAGCGUGGGGAGCAAACAGGAUUAGAUACCCCUGUAGUC
rnacentral:rRNA from 1 species